GACGUAGGGCGCGAGCGUUGUCCGGAUUUAUUGGGCGUAAAGAGCUCGUAGGCGGCUCGUUGCGUCGGCUGUGAAAACCCGCAGCUCAACUGUGGGCCUGCAGCCGAUACGGGCGGGCUGGAGUUCGGUAGGGGAGACUGGAAUUCCUGGUGUAGCGGUGAAAUGCGCAGAUAUCAGGAGGAACACCAGCGGCGAAGGCGCUGCUCUGGGCCGGUACUGACGCUGAGGAGCGAAAGCGUGGGGAGCGAACAGG
rnacentral:rRNA from 1 species